rnacentral:rRNA from 1 species
AUUGAACGCUGGCGGCAUGCUUUACACAUGCAAGUCGAACGGUAACAGGCCGCAAGGUGCUGACGAGUGGCGAACGGGUGAGUAAUGCAUCGGAACGUGCCCAGUCGUGGGGGAUAACGCAGCGAAAGCUGCGCUAAUACCGCAUACGAUCUAUGGAUGACAGCGGGGGACCGUAAGGCCUCGCGCGCUUUGAGCGGCCGAUGUCAGAUUAGGUAGUUGGUGAGGUAAAGGCUCACCAAGCCAACGAUCUGUAGCUGGUCUGAGAGGACGACCAGCCACACUGGGACUGAGACACGGCCCAGACUCCUACGGGAGGCAGCAGUGGGGAAUUUUGGACAAUGGGCGCAAGCCUGAUCCAGCAAUGCCGCGUGCAGGAAGAAGGCCUUCGGGUUGUAAACUGCUUUUGUACGGAACGAAACGGUCCGGGCUAAUACCCUGGGCUAAUGACGGUACCGUAAGAAUAAGCACCGGCUAACUACGUGCCAGCCGCCGCAGUAACAC